UACGGAGGGGGCUAGCGUUGUUCGGAAUUACUGGGCGUAAAGCGCACGUAGGCGGCUUUGUAAGUUAGAGGUGAAAGCCCGGGGCUCAACUCCAGAACUGCCUUUGAAACUGCAUCGCUAGAAUCAUGGAGAGGUUAGUGGAAUUCCGAGUGUAGAGGUGAAAUUCGUAGAUAUUCGGAAGAACACCAGUGGCGAAGGCGACUAACUGGACAUGUAUUGACGCUGAGGUGCGAAAGCGUGGGGAGCAAACAGG
rnacentral:rRNA from 1 species